rnacentral:rRNA from 1 species
GUGGGGAAUAUUGGACAAUGGGCGAAAGCCUGAUCCAGCCAUGCCGCGUGUGUGAAGAAGGUCUUCGGAUUGUAAAGCACUUUAAGUUGGGAGGAAGGGCAGUAAGUUAAUACCUUGCUGUUUUGACGUUACCGACAGAAUAAGCACCGGCUAACUUCGUGCCAGCAGCCGCGGUAAUACGAAGGGUGCAAGCGUUACUCGGAAUUACUGGGCGUAAAGCGCGCGUAGGUGGUUUUGUAAGUUGGAGGUGAAAUCCCCGGGCUCAACCUGGGAACUGCCUCCAAAACUGCAUGACUAGAGUACGGUAGAGGGUAGUGGAAUUUCCUGUGUAGCGGUGAAAUGCGUAGAUAUAGGAAGGAACACCAGUGGCGAAGGCGACUACCUGGACUGAUACUGACACUGAGGUGCGAAAGCGUGGGGAGCAAACAGGAUUAGAAACCCGAGUAGUCC